AUAUCUCUCCGUACGGGAAGGAUGAGAAGCUUCGACUAAGGUUCGAUUCGAGCGAAAGCGAGAAAGCGUUGC
rnacentral:sRNA from 1 species